CAUCUUUCUGAGAGGAAUACCAGACAUGAAGCAGCAGGACGACGAGGUGAAACUGUGCGGUAAAAGUGACAACAGGUGCUGAUUAAAGAGCAACACAUCCAACAUCCUCACGCUGAAACUCUUCCUCACAUAUUCUGCCACCUUGUCCUUUCUGAUCGUCAUCUCUUUCCCUCUUAUUCCCUUCGUCUUCCCUCCAUCUCCACCUAACUACAUUAUGUCAAAUCUCUCCAACCCCUCCAACUUGUUCUGUCUCUUUAUAAGUCUGCUGGUGGAGGUGU